rnacentral:rRNA from 1 species
AGUGAACGCUGGCGGUAGGCCUAACACAUGCAAGUCGAACGGCAGCACAGUAAGAGCUUGCUCUUACGGGUGGCGAGUGGCGGACGGGUGAGGAAUACAUCGGAAUCUACUUUUUCGUGGGGGAUAACGUAGGGAAACUUACGCUAAUACCGCAUAUGACCUACGGGUGAAAGCAGGGGAUCUUCGGACCUUGCGCGAUUGAAUGAGCCGAUGUCGGAUUAGCUAGUUGGCGGGGUAAAGGCCCACCAAGGCGACGAUCCGUAGCUGGUCUGAGAGGAUGAUCAGCCACACUGGAACUGAGACACGGUCCAGACUCCUACGGGAGGCAGCAGUGGGGAAUAUUGGACAAUGGGCGCAAGCCUGAUCCAGCCAUACCGCGUGGGUGAAGAAGGCCUUCGGGUUGUAAAGCCCUUUUGUCGGGAAAGAAAAGCAGCAGGUUAAUACCCCGCUGUUCUGACGGUACCCAAAGAAUAAGCACCGGCUAACUUCGUG